GGUUUCAUUUUGGAUGAUAUUAAGAAGAGAAUGAAUAAUUUUCAUUGUUCAAUGGAUAAACAGGUGGAUGAAGUAUAUCCAAUUUGUGUGUUGUAAGGAGGAUUCAUUUUCUAGGUGUCAACGGUGUAUUGCUCUCUUUGCUCAGGUGGAUGAAGUAGAUCCAAUUUGUGUGCUGUAAGGAGGAUUCAUUUUGAAGUGUAGAGUGGAAUGGAUGAAUUUUCUUCUAAAACUUUCUCAAUUGUCUUGCUUGAAAUUGGCCAUUUAGUUAAAACUAUAAAGUAAUUUCGAUUUUCUUUUUGUAGUAAGGAAAUAGUUGUGAUAUAAUUACUGUUCAAUGGUAAGUUAGGAAAUGGUUUAUUAAUACCUUAAAACUAAAUAUUUUAUAAUAUUCUAUGUUUGGUUUA